rnacentral:sRNA from 1 species
GCGGAGGAAAAGAAACCAACAGGGAUUGCCCCAGUAACGGCGAGUGAAGCGGCAACAGCUCAAAUUUGAAAUCUGGCCCUAGGCCCGAGUUGUAAUUUGCAGAGGAUGCUUUUGGCGCGGUGCCUUCCGAGUUCCCUGGAACGGGACGCCAUAGAGGGUGAGAGCCCCGUACGGUUGGACACCAAGUCUUUGUAAAGCUCCUUCGACGAGUCGAGUAGUUUGGGAAUGCUGCUCAAAAUGGGAGGUAUAUUUCUUCUAAAGCUAAAUAUUGGCCAGAGACCGAUAGCGCACAAGUAGAGUGAUCGAAAGAUGAAAAGCACUUUGAAAAGAGGGUUAAACAGCACGUGAAAUUGUUAAAAGGGAAGCGCUUGUGACCAGACUUGCGUCCGGUGAAUCACCCAGCUCUCGCGGCUGGGGCAUUUUGCCGGCUCAGGCCAGCAUCAGCUUGCCGUCGGGGACAAAAGCUUCGGGAACGUAGCUCUCUUCGGGGAGUGUUAUAGCCCGUUGCAUAAUACCCUUCGGUGGGCUGAGGUACGCGCUCCGCAAGGAUGCUGGCGUAAUGGUCAUCAGCGACCCGUCUUGAACACGGACAAGGAGUCAACCUUAUGUGCGAGUGUUUGGGUGUUAAACCCCUACGCGUAAUGAAAGUGAACGCAGGUGAGAGCUUCGGCGCAUCAUCGACCGAUCCUGAUGUUCUCGGAUGGAUUUGAGUAAGAGCAUAUAGGGUUGGACCCGAAAGAAGGUGAACUAUGCGUGUAUAGGGUGAAGCCAGAGGAAAUCUGGUGGAGGCUCGCAGCGGUUCUGACGUGCAAAUCGAUCGUCAAAUAUGCGCAU